UGGCACACACGCGCGCAUUUACGUCCAGCUUUUACAAACAAUUAAGGGCACAAUUAGCUAAUUAUCCGAGUGUUUAGUGCACCAGUAUGCAAGUAACGUGUCGCGCGACUGUUUUGCUCAACCGUUCAUCAUCUACAAAGAUAAUUCUCACUGCUGCGGCUGGUGUAUGUACGACGUUAUGGAUGAGCUCAAUGACGCCAGACAAGACGGAAUAAAGGAUGAGACGGAUGAUUAGCAACCAGUGUGGAGCUGCCAAAGAGCAAGGCUGAUGGGCAUUCAGAAGAGUGUGCAGGCCUCCCGGAUGAAAAAGGUUGAAACAGAUGAAGAA